rnacentral:ncRNA from 1 species
ACUGUAGUCGUUAAGCAAUCAUUAAUGCACAAACUCGCUUUUUGAUCCUUCGAUGUCGGCUCUUCCUAUCAUUGUGAAGCAGAAUUCACCAAGCGUGGGAUUGUUCACCCACUGAUGGGGAACGUGAGCUGGGAUAAGACCGUCGUGAGACAGGUU